rnacentral:rRNA from 1 species
CAGUCGCCGCGGGAAUACGGAGGGUGCAAGCGUUAUUCGGAUUUAUUGGGUUUAAAGGGUCCGUAGGCGGAUCUGUAAGUCAGUGGUGAAAUCUCACAGCUUAACUGUGAAACUGCCAUUGAUACUGCAGGUCUUGAGUAAAUUUGAAGUGGCUGGAAUAAGUAGUGUAGCGGUGAAAUGCAUAGAUAUUACUUAGAACACCAAUUGCGAAGGCAGGUCACUAAGAUUUAACUGACGCUGAUGGACGAAAGCGUGGGGAGCAAACAGGAUUAGAUACCCCCGUAGUCCCUGUCUCUUAUAC